rnacentral:rRNA from 1 species
AUUGAACGCUGGCGGCAGGCCUAACACAUGCAAGUCGAACGGUAACAGAAAGCAGCUUGCCGCUUUGCUGACGAGUGGCGGACGGGUGAGUAAUGUCUGGGAAACUGCCUGAUGGAGGGGGAUAACUACUGGAAACGGUAGCUAAUACCGCAUAACGUCGCAAGACCAAAGAGGGGGACCUUAGGGCCUCUUGCCAUCGGAUGUGCCCAGAUGGGAUUAGCUAGUAGGUGGGGUAACGGCUCACCUAGGCGACGAUCCCUAGCUGGUCUGAGAGGAUGACCAGCCACACUGGAACUGAGACACGGUCCAGACUCCUACGGGAGGCAGCAGUGGGGAAUAUUGCACAAUGGGCGCAAGCCUGAUGCAGCCAUGCCGCGUGUAUGAAGAAGGCCUUCGGGUUGUAAAGUACUUUCAGCGGGGAGGAAGGGAGUAAAGUUAAUACCUUUGCUCAUUGACGUUACCCGCAGAAGAAGCACCGGCUAACUCCGUGCCAGCAGCCGCGGUAAUACGGAGGGUGCAAGCGUUAAUCGGAAUUACUGGGCGUAAAGCGCACGCAGGCGGUUUGUUAAGUCAGAUGUGAAAUCCCCGGGCUCAACCUGGGAACUGCAUCUGAUACCGGCAGGCUUGAGUCUCGUAGAGGGGGGUAGAAUUCCAGGUGUAGCGGUGAAAUGCGUAGAGAUCUGGAGGAAUACCGGUGGCGAAGGCGGCCCCCUGGACGAAGACUGACGC